rnacentral:rRNA from 1 species
UUUUGGACAAUGGGGGCAACCCUGAUCCAGCCAUGCCGCGUGCGGGAAGAAGGCCUUCGGGUUGUAAACCGCUUUUGGUCGGGAAGAAAGGGCCACUCUGAACAGGGGUGGUGGUUGACGGUACCGGCAGAAUAAGCACCGGCUAACUACGUGCCAGCAGCCGCGGUAAUACGUAGGGUGCGAGCGUUAAUCGGAAUUACUGGGCGUAAAGCGUGCGCAGGCGGUUCGUUAAGUUCGUUGUGAAAGCCCCGGGCUCAACCUGGGAACGGCAAUGGAAACUGGCGGGCUGGAGUGUGGCAGAGGGGGGUGGAAUUCCACGUGUAGCAGUGAAAUGCGUAGAGAUGUGGAGGAACACCGAUGGCGAAGGCAGCCCCCUGGGCCAACACUGACGCUCAGGCACGAAAGCGUGGGGAGCAAAC